AAGGCCUUCGGGUUGUAAACCGCUUUUGUCAGGGAAGAAAUCUUCUGGGCUAAUACCUCGGGAGGAUGACGGUACCUGAAGAAUAAGCACCGGCUAACUACGUGCCAGCAGCCGCGGUAAUACGUAGGGUGCAAGCGUUAAUCGGAAUUACUGGGCGUAAAGCGUGCGCAGGCGGUUUUGUAAGACAGAGGUGAAAUCCCCGGGCUUAACCUGGGAACUGCCUUUGUGACUGCAAGGCUUGAGUGCGGCAGAGGGGGAUGGAAUUCCGCGUGUAGCAGUGAAAUGCGUAGAUAUGCGGAGGAACACCGAUGGCGAAGGCAAUCCCCUGGGCCUGCACUGACGCUCAUGCACGAAAGCGUGGGGAGCAAAACAGGAUUAGAUACCCUGGUAGUCCACGCCCUAAACGAUGUCAACUGGUUGUUGGGAGGGUUUCUUCUCAGUAACGUAGCUAACGCGUGAAGUUGACCGCCUGGGGAGUACGGCCGCAAGGUUGAAACUCAAAGGAAUU
rnacentral:rRNA from 1 species